CCAGUUCUCUGUUUGUUUUCUAUCAGUUAAUGUUUUGUUUCAUUCUUCACGUCUUUCAGUACGAACAACAGAACAACUUUUUCGUCAAAGAGGACAAGUAAUUUACAUAAAAAUAUAAUUAUUUGCAGUGCAGUGAUUUAUUGUGACGAGUACAAGACAUGGAAUUGUCAGUGCCGAUUCAGGAGGAGGACAUGGUGACCGUCGCACUGGUGUCGUGUUCUUCGCUUUUGGAACCAGGUGCAUCACGGGAAGAUAAUAUCGAUAUUAAGAAACUCGAUGUCUGGAUGAGGCUCAAAACUUAAUGAUUGGUCCGCUGUGGUCUGACCUUACCAGACGAAGUGUCCGAGGAGUGACUGAAGAAGAGUGAUCAAAGACUUAAAGCCUUAGAGUUGAAGGCGGUAAAUUCCGCCGAAAUAUUUCUAUCUACCUGGAGGGCCAGAAGGCAUUUCUAACCAGAAGCCCAACAUCGUCUUCACCUGCUUGAAAACUUCAAAUAUCACUGGAAUAUAGUUUUAUGAAACAUCGCAAAGUAAUGAAGAAAUCAGCUGACGCGGUGAAGCGUCUGUCUUGUAAUACUGAGGAACCCCGUUUCGAAUCUGUAUCGGCGCACGUCUUGACAGAAUGUGUCUUGCAGUUACUCCAAGUCAGAGCAGGAAUAAUACCUAGAAACAGGCCACGAUGGCUUCUGCUCAUUUUCUAUCCAGAUGACCACCACACAUGGCCGUCCUCUGCUCUUGUUCGUCUGUACGUAUCGUCUCUUAACGUGAAGUGAACGCAUCCCCGGUUACGUAACAUUACGUAGUACAGUUGUGGGACGUUGCGACAUGAAACCACGAGAAACACGACUCAGAUUGCGUCAUGUUACUUGUCACUUCAACUGAUAUAAUUUGUGGAAUGUUAUUGACUUUAUUUCUCUGUGGGAUUUGGGGUUUUUACAGCGGCGAGUCUGAAGAUGGCUGUCCUCUUGCCAUAUUUUGUGUAAUGUGUCACAUUCAUAAGAUGGAAAUAAUAAGUAAUGAGGCCAAUGGCAUAUAAAGUUAAGUUUAAUUUAAUGAGGGCUGAUUAAGUGAGAAAAAAAUAGUUUAAUGGACUUCAAAAUCUAACAUGAAUGCACUUAAAUCCAUUUUAUUGUAUAUACCGACAUAUAAGGAGUAUAUGUAAACAUACGUUACACUUUCGUGUACCUAGAGGCCAGUAUAUUUAUAAAUGAGCCGGGCAGUACGAUAAGUACUGAGUUACAGACAGUAAAAAUGACCCAUUUGUUCA